AGCUUUGUGCACUGGCAGUACGGUAGCCAAUGAGGUUUGUCCGAGGUGCAAUUAUUGCUAACUGAAAAACAAUGAAGCUUUUAAAAAAGAAAGUGGGAGAUAGCUCU
ensembl:snRNA U4 U4 spliceosomal RNA